GAAAAUAAGAACACAUGUUCUCAUCUUCCAGGAUGCAGCAGACUGAAGAAAUUCAGACAUCCCGCAACCUGCGAUUAUCGCAAGGUCAAGGCAAAGUCCGGUAAUGGCGUUCUGAAUACCAGAGAUAAUUCUCUGGCGAAACCCACCUUAAGGUGGGUUUU
rnacentral:sRNA from 23 species